rnacentral:rRNA from 1 species
AACGAACGCUGGCGGCAGGCCUAACACAUGCAAGUCGAGCGAGAUCUUCGGGUCUAGCGGCGGACGGGUGAGUAACGCGUGGGAAUAUGCCUCUUGGUACGGAAUAGCCUCGGGAAACUGGGAGUAAUACCGUAUGUGCCCUUGGGGGGAAAGAUUUAUCGCCAAGAGAUUAGCCCGCGUUGGAUUAGGUAGUUGGUGGGGUAAUGGCCUACCAAGCCGACGAUCCAUAGCUGGUUUGAGAGGAUGAUCAGCCACACUGGGACUGAGACACGGCCCAGACUCCUACGGGAGGCAGCAGUGGGGAAUCUUAGACAAUGGGGGCAACCCUGAUCUAGCCAUGCCGCGUGAGUGAUGAAGGCCUUAGGGUUGUAAAGCUCUUUCAGCUGGGAAGAUAAUGACGGUACCAGCAGAAGAAGCCCCGGCUAACUCCGUG